AUGCCAUACAACUCUCCUUCGGUAGCCUCCAAUUGCUCUCAAAUACAAGUAAAACUAAAUGCAUGCUCUUCAACCGAUCGCUGCCUGCAACCUGCCCACCUGUCCAACAUCACUACUCUGGACGGUUCUGACUUAGAAUACGUGGACAACUACAAAUACCUAGGUGUCUGGUUAGACUGUAAACUCUCCUUCCAGAACCACAUCAAACAUAUCCAAUCCAAAGUUAAAUCUAGAAUUGGCUUCCUAUUUCACAACAAAGCAUCCUUCACUCAUGCUGCCAAACAUACCCUUGUAAAACUGACCAUCCUACCAAUCCUCGACUUCGGCGUUGUCAUUUCCAAAAUAGCCUCCAAUGCCCUACUCAAUAAAUUGGAUGCAGUCUAUCACAGUGCCAUCCGUUUUGUCACCAAAGCCCCAUAUACUACCCACCACUGCAACCUGUACGCUCUUGUUGGCUGGCCCUCGCUUCAUACUCGUCGCCAAACCCACUGGCUCCAGGUCCUCUACAAGACCCUGCUAGGUAAAGUCCCCCCUUAUCUCAGCUCGCUGGUCACCAUAGCAGCACCCACCUGUAGCACGCGCUCCAGCAGGUAUAUUUCUCUGGUCACCCCCAAAACCAAUUCUUCCUUUGGCCGCCUCUCCUUCCAGUUCUCAUCUGCCAAUGACUGGAACGAACUACAAAAAUCUUUGAAAUUGGAAACACUUAUCUCCCUCACUAGCUUUAAGCACCAGCUGUCAGAGCAGCUCACAGAUUACUGCACCUGUACAUAUUCCACCUAUAAUUUAGCCCAAACAACUACCUCUUUCCCUACUGUAUUUUAUUUAUUUAUUUAUUUUGCUCCUUUGCACCACAUUAUUUCGAUCUCUACUUUGCACAUUCUUCCACUGCAAAUCAACUAUUCCAGUGUUUUACUUGCUAUAUUGUAUUUACUUCGCCACCAUGGCCUUUUUUUUACCUUUACCUUCCUUCUCACCUCACUUGCUCACAUUGUAUAUAGACUUAUUUUUUUACUGUAUUAUUGA
rnacentral:lncRNA from 13 species